CUGGAAAUUGAAAAGGAAACCAAGCAGGAAGUGUUGGACCUUGAGGCUUCUUGUUUGAAGGAAGGGAGAGGGAGCGCUCUGAGUGCUGCACUGUCCAAGUAUAAGAUUGCCAGGGGGGCUCUGAAGAAACAAUUUGCCUUCCUGAAGGGAAAGACAUGUCUCCAGCAGACUGUUGGAGCACAGGAGGAGCCGCUGUUACUUAUGUCAGAGACCAGCCUGGAAUCUGAGAAACCAGUUGCAUCAAAAGAAAAGGAGAAGACAGAGUGGCCUGAAUGGAGCACAGAGCCCAGGAGAACUGGCGAGCAGGCUGCCCUGCACACAUGCUCCAGGAUGGCCACCACCAGGACAGUGGGUAUCCCUACAAGGACUCUCAUGGCCUUCAGGGAUCCCUUCUCAAGUUCAUGGGAUUUUUUCAUGAUGGUGGCUGAAAUCCAUAUGAGCUCAGCCACAUUUUUGCAGAACGAAACGCUGCCUUUCAGAGCCACAGCAUUAGUGCAGUCUGCAAAAGGAGGGUGGAAAUUCAUUAGAUUUGAGGGGAUAUCCAGUGGAGGCAGGAAUUGGAUUGAGGCAAUUUUCUUCAGAAAUUCUCUGGCUCUGGAUUUCCCAUCAGGAUUGCAUGUUGCUUGAGCAUCUCCUGCUGUUGGUCCAGCAGUUCUCAGUAUGGCAGGUAGCCCGAGUGGCUUCACGCUCUUGUCCUCAGCCAGUGCCACAAAAUCCUCUACAGAGAGGCUGGUACAGACACCUGCCUUAAGAAGGAGAUCUGUCACAGAAAACUUGCUUGUAGCUAGACAGUUAAUUCGGCCACAAGUCAGAAAUUUGGCUUGAUUAGCCUGGUCCAAUAAACAGGACCGAGAUGAUCAGUGAUAGGGUAUAUUCAAACCCAAACAGAGAUUUCAACCAUGACCUUCCAUUACAAGUGGCAGACACUUACCUGGUCAGAGAGUUAAGCAAUCCGAACACCCAAACAAUCAUCUGUCACGAGCCAGGGAAUUCAAAUCCUCUAUUUAAGAAGGGUCUUGAACAAUAAAGAGGAUGUUCUCAUAUGGAUUAGUAAGGGUUGGGUUGUCUGUCUCCUAUCAUAACGACAGUUAAUGAUAUAGGUGGCUGCUAUACAAAAAACAGGGAGAUCCCCAGUGAAGAUGAAGGCAGCCACCUGGGCAAGUGCAGUGGCUAGGGAUAAGUCUGGGAGGAGAAGCUGUUCUGUGUCUCUGAUGAUGGUGCCAGUCCUCUGAAGGAGCAGCCAAGACAAGUGCUGCAAGCUGCCAUGUCCUGCCCUCUUCUGCUGUCAGAUGCACACGGGACAGAGCUGCUGCCACAGGUCCACAAGACUUGAUCCAGGAACAAUGGAGGGCCAUGCAUUGGUAGGGAAUGGCCUCCAGCAGGGGCAAAGCAGGGUCUUCUAGCAGCAAAGCCUGAGCCUGUGAAGCAGGCCACCUCCUCAGCAGACACAACAGUGCUUCCUCCCAGCCCUGAACGUCAGCCACAAGUGCCUGCUGCUACUUCCUUUGUUCCAAGCCAGUCCAGGAUUUAGUUUGGAAGCUCAUGCUGUGUCUUGAAGGUGCCUGCACGGGGGAGAGGCGUGGCAGCUGCGGCGCAGGGCUGGUGUCCCUCUCACGAUGGCACGGAUGCCGCUGCCUUGGGACACCAGCCUGUGGAAGGCGAGUCUGCCCUCAAGCACGGCCAUUGGAGUCAGUCGGGGCCACAGGCUGCAGCUGCAGCUGCCAAGGGCUG
rnacentral:lncRNA from 1 species